GUGGCCUGGCCCAGCUCUGGGGCCACAAGUCUUCAGGAGCAGAGUCCUGCUUCUGAAUGAGGAGGGGGGACCCUUGGACAGGGGAGGGGGCGGGCAGAGCUGGAGUACCUGACACAGCUGCCCCUUCGCCAGCCCACCUUUGCUCCAGGCAUCGUCACGGAGCAGAGAGCAAGGGAGAUCCAGCAAGUGACAGCCCAUCUGCAAAACCCCAUCACGCCAGCGGUCACAGGGAAGGAGAGCCUGGCGCCUGACCUCAGCAUCUGUUUGUCUAAUCAGGAAGGAGAGUGGAGAAGUCGGCAAGGACUGCGUGCACGUUUUAUAGCCUCUCAGUACCAUGUCAACUGCCAGCAAAUGUUACUACCCAGAGCGAUUCAGGGUUGUUGCCGUCUUCAACAUUAUGUAACCAAGACUUCAAGAAUUCCAAGCAAUACGCUAAAGAAGG